AGUAGGAAUGCACAUUCCAAUACCAACACUCCCAAUGAAUUCCCCUGCAAUCUUACUUUAGAAAGAGUUUCUAUGUUAAUAUUUAGAACACCAGACAUUCACAAUGAAAGGACAAGGGAGUUUUCUUUAUUGGUCCUUCGUAGAUUGUUUUAGGUUGAACUAGCUAAUUCCCCUGCUGUAUGCGUAUUUUGGUACAUCCCUUGGAGAGGACGCUUCUAUAAUACUUCGGUGAGAGCGCACACAUCUCCAUCGCUUCAACCUGUAUCCAGCAGUGUCAGAGAUGUACCUCAUUACUGUCAAGGACUGUGGGUAUCAUCACCCUUCAGUAUUCCACUGAUGCCCAGCAUUGCCCUGCAGCCUUUCGGAAUUAUUUCAGUGUUCCAGUCUUGCUUUCCAUGCUCUAGAGAAGUCAGAACCCAUCUCAGACGCAAUAGAGGUGAAAACUAGGAGUGCGGAGUUACUGUGAAUCUCAUGCCAAGGUCCAACCAUUUCAAACGAAACACAGGGAUACUGAUGGGACUGAUAUGGUGCCAUAUCAGAAUCCUCUCUCCCAUCAAUUCAGAAAUGGAGGGAUGUCGCUGAAGGAGUGGCAGACAGCUUUAGGUACUAAUGGUACUCCUGUGUACAAACACACACUGUGGGCAUUUCUCCCUAAAGUUUUUGCCCUCUCCAGAUUUGGACGAUGCCCCAGGACACUCUGCAUUAGAAGAGAUCAGUGAUGAGGAGGCGGUUCGUAUGGACAGCCCAGCUGCCCUGCCUGCUGUAUCCAUCUCCCUCAGACUAUGUCAACAAGUCAGAGACACUCAGCAAGCUUGUACAGCUAGAUAGAUUCAGUCCAUUUAGGGUUUGUAUCUGAUUAGCCAUUAGUUUCCCAUUACUUCCCCAUGUAGUGCAGGGAUGGGCAACUGGCGGCUAUGUCAGCGAACAAGGCCGUAACCGGGGUUUGCGUUUUAGUGAGGUCCAGAAGAGGGGAUGGGGGGUGCAAGGGGAGGUACCUCCUCCCCCAGGACAUUUUUUUAAAGUCAAAGCUCAUUUACUGCUUUUCUAUAGCAUUUAAAUGUGUUUUUUUAUUGUAUCUGGACAGCAAAAACAAGCAAAAAUGAAUCCAUUAUCA